rnacentral:rRNA from 1 species
UGCAGUCGAACGGAUCUCUCCGUGAAGCUCCCGGAUGGAACCCGGCAACAAACCGGAAGCCCGAUUCGUCGGGCCAAGGGGCGGAACCGGUCUACUGAACGGAUUGGAUCGGAUCACAGAGGUUAGUGGCAAACGGCUGAGUAACGCGUAACCAACCUGUCCCGGUGUGGGGGACAACCUCGAGAAAUCGUGGCUAAUACCGCAUGAUAUGGUCCGCUGAAGGGUGGAUCAUCAAAGGCUCCGGUCGCAUGGGGAGGGGGUUGCGUUCUAUCAGGUAGUUGGUGAGGUAACGGCUCACCAAGCCUACGACGGAUAGCUGGUCUGAGAGGAUGAUCAGCCAGAUGGGGACUGAGACACGGCCCCAACUCCUACGGGAGGCAGCAGCAGGGAAUCUUGCGCAAUGGGCGAAAGCCUGACGCAGCGACGUCGCGUGGGGGAUGAAUGCCUUCGGGUUGUAAACCCCUUUUGUUUGGGGCGAAGUUCUGACGGUACCAAACGAAUAAGCCUCGGCUAACUACGUGCCAGCAGCAGCGGUAAUACGUAGGAGGCGAGCGUUGCCCGGAUUUAUUGGGCGUAAAGGGCGCGUAGGCGGCCUGGAAAGUCCUUUGUGAAAUCUCCCGGCUUAACUGGGAGGGGUCAGAGGAAACUAUCAGGCUUGAGGGGAGCAGAGGAGAACGGAAUUCCCGGUGUAGCGGUGAAAUGCAUAGAUAUCGGGAGGAACACUUGUGGCGAAGGCGGUUCUCUGGGCUCUUCCUGACGCUGAGGCGCGAAAGCGUGGGGAGCAAACCGGAUUAGAUACCCGGGUAGUCCACGCCGUAAACUAUGGACACUGGGUACAGGGGGUAUCGACCCCC